rnacentral:rRNA from 1 species
AAAACUUUCAACAACGGAAUCUCUNGGUUCCGGCAUCNAAGAAAAACGCACCGAAAGCGAUACGUAAUGUGAAUUGCAGAAUUCAGUGAAUCAUCGAGUCUUUGAACGCACAUUGCGCCCUCUGGUAUUCCGGAGGGCAUGUCUGUCCGAGCGUCAUUG